UACGUAGGGGGCAAGCGUUGUCCGGAUUUAUUGGGCGUAAAGAGCGUGUAGGCGGCCUGACAGGUCUGCUGUGAAAACUCGAGGCUCAACCUCGAGAUGUCGGCGGAAACCGUCUGGCUAGAGUCCGGAAGAGGAGAGUGGAAUUCCUGGUGUAGCGGUGAAAUGCGCAGAUAUCAGGAAGAACACCAACGCGAAGGCAGC
rnacentral:rRNA from 1 species